AUGAAGAGGAAGAAUACUGGUACUACUGAUUUGAGAACUUUCUUGGAAAGAGUUGCUGCAAAAAAAGGGACGUCUCUUCGGUAUGAGAUUGUUCCCAAAUUUCUCAAAUUGGUGCAAGUUGCAUUAGCUGGUGUUGAGAGGGUCUUCUCAUUAAUGAACUAUAUAAAAAACAAGCUAAGAAGCAAGAUGGGGCAAAAAUACUUGAAUGAUUGCUUGGGCACAUUCAUUGAAAGGAUAUUUUAA
rnacentral:rRNA from 1 species